CUGUGUGCCUGGGGUUGCUCCCAGAAUGAUGGAGCUUGGCGUGCUGCCUCUCCCUGUGCAAGAAUGUAGGAGAGCAUGGCAGGGCAGCCAAACAGUGCCGCAGUGGGCACGGGCUGGGAACCUUGCCAGGUGCUCUCCAGCCAAGAGGCCUCAACAAGCACUGACUCUGUCACUGCCAAUUCAUCUCCAUAAAGGAGUGUCGGUGUGGGAAAAGGGGAGGGAGAUGGACCCUGGGGAUGCCUAAGGCUCUCUGGGUUCUGAAUUCUAUGAGCUAUGGUCCCAAAUCAGUGCCAUUAAAUCCCACUGCAACUUGCUCUGUCAUUUCUCUGGAUCCACUUGAAGUCCAAUGUGGAAGAGCUUCCCGUUAGUUAGGGGCCCAACUCACCACUUUUGUACUGAGGACUACUGGGCAGGAAGGCACAGAGGCCAGACUCUGCCUUGCUUGCAGGAAUGCAGAUCUGGAAGGAACCUGGGGCACUACUGGUUCUUGGGGCAUCAAAUGGCAGGUUCCCUGUAACUGCGUGUGAAACUGAUUAACAUCCAUCUGGUCCACGUGAGCUCCAGAGUGAAUCAGAAGGGAAACCUCUUUGGGGGUGCUGUGUUUGUGGUUGGCUGUAUUUAAAAACAUCCCAGUAAGGUCAGGUUUACUUGUUCUUGGGAGAAGUGGGCUGAGGCUGGACAUGCUCAUUGGAGAAGUCAGCCCUGGGGAGGUCACGGCCUACAUCACUGCAAAUGAAGCCCUCCGUACCUGAAGCCCUGGAAUGAUUUGUUUCCCUAUUCUGGAAAAGUGCACACACAAACACAGCGAAGCCUGCCCUCAGUGCCUGCAUCCGCCCAUUCUUCUCCUGUGCGUGGUGAGCAUCUGUGACCAUUACUCUGAACUCUUCACCAGGAAGACUGGAGGUGUGCUUCAGUCUGCUGUCUGCGCAGUGCCCUGGGGUGGUGGUCUCAGAGCCUCUGAUUGUUCCAGUCCCAAGGAACUCAGCAACACCAGGCCCCGGUGGUCACAGGGCCUCUCCUGCACAGACUGCAGACCUGCUGGCUCCAAGGUGGCAGCUGGGGAGCCUGGGGGUGGGCACGCUGUGAGGCCAGCAUGGAAACGGGAGGGUCUGCAGCCAGCACACACCCCCGCUUCAGCUGGGCAGCACCUGCCAAGCCCACUCACUCCUGCCUCCUAGCAAGGCAGCAGGAGGGCACCAAGUCCAAGCUCGCCCAGCCGUGCCUGCAGGAGAGGCGAAGAUUGCAACCGUGGCAUUCUUCAGCCUCUGUCUCUGUGGGGCUCCAGAUGUUCUGGCACAGCUCCUGGGGGCUGGGGGUCCUAACACAGGCUCCUAAACCCUGCUGCUCCAGGAGAGCUGGACAUCUCAGAGUGCCCCCCUUGGUGUGUCGCUGUGCUGUGAGGGGUUUCUGGUAAGACCACGUCUGCCUCUCCUGUCCAGCUCAAUGGGUCUUCCCAUUCUUCAGUAGAGAAGUGGCUCACCUAGCUUCAGGUCUUUUUCAGGGGAGGUGAGCCAUACGUGGUGUAGAUUUGGUGUGCCCAAGAUCUCCUGGUGCACCAUCUUACAGAGGCCCUCCCAGCUGCCUUCCAAGCAGAGCUAAUUCAACAGCAGAAGUGGCUCACUAACCACCCUCCCCGGUUCUUUCAAAGCCACGGAGACCCCUUUAGAACAACUGCCAGGUGGCCUCAGAGUCAGAAACCAUCUUCUCUACCACCAGAGGCCUGGAUAACUCAGACAUUCAUAACCAAGUUCCCCUGUGUGGCUUCAGGAACAGCAUAGAAGAUGCAUGAGCCCAGAGAGCAGACGACUCGUGGAGCACUUGCCUUUUUCCAAAUAACAAGCAAAUGCAUAUAAACAGUGUUUGCUUCAUGACUAAA